rnacentral:lncRNA from 1 species
GUGAGUCCCCUAUGUAACUCCCGCCCUUCUUCCUCACUUUGAGGAGGGUGGGGGACGAGGUCAUGAGGGAGGCUCCUCCUGGGCAGGGGCAGGUGUGGGAGGCUGUGAGCCCGGGGCCCUGGCCUGCGCCCCCAGGACGGGGGUGAGAGGAGGAGAAGGGCAGUGCCCAGGGAUGAUCCGCAGCCCGCAGGGCCUUCUCCUGUCCUCUGGGGUAGAAGCCUGAGACAGAGCUGUUUGUGUUUCAGGAGCACAAGGUUACCCGGGGCAGAAACAGCGCAAACUGUGGUCAGGCAGAGCCUUGUGCUUGCUGCUGGCUGCCGGGCACUGUCCCCACAGAGCUGCACACAGGACACUGUGUCACUUCCGUCCUGUCACGGCUUUAUUCUGCCAUGUCACCUCAGGGCAACUCCUGGCCAGGGCCCAUGUAGUACCCACAGGGGCUACGCGACCUGCAAAGAUGGCAGUGAGCACAGCCGGGAAGCCUCUCAGGACCAGGAAGUGGGCCUGACUUUUUCUGAGCCUUCUCCACCAGGGACAGGCUGGCCUCACAGGAGGCCUGGAGCCAGGCUGAGCCUCGGUUUCUCUCUCCACCAUGGGACCUGAGGGUGGGUGGGCUCUUCAUGCCCCAGGCCAUGACCUCUCCUUGUUAAUGAGCCAUGAAUCGGUAGCAUUUCUGUGUGUCCUUUCUGAAAUUACCUUCUAACAUGCAUUGCUUUUCUGCCGGGCCCACUUGUGCCCCUUCUGGUACGAGCCAUGAUGGCGACUUGCAGAGUGGUCUGGGCUUCAGCCUCCAGCCCUCCUGAUGGCCUGGGUGGGCCCCAGUUCCAUGUCUCCCCUCUGUUCCAUCACAGACUGGGGCCCAACGGGAGGAGAGCCGGCAGAGGACUGCAUGACCUUUCCCAGGGCUCGGCUGUGAUUGCCAGUAGCCAGAGCAGAUGCAACCCCUGCCCUCUGGGGCUUCAGCGCUGUUUGAGGUCCUCAGUCACCCUGGACAGCUGAGCAAGCAUUCCUCGCACUGCAGUAGAUGGCACUUUCCCGGCCUCCCUAGAUGUGGAUCCACAGCAGUGCAAGAGGAGCCCAGGAGCG